UAGUCUCCCAGCUCUGUAUUUAAACAGGUCAGGUAUUACACCUGUCAGCUACAGCAGAGUCCUGCUUCCCUCUACAACAGGAAAGCCUGGUCCAUCCUGCUCACAGUCCGCUAAGUCUACUGUCCAACAGCUGCUGCUGCUGAUGAUGAUGAUGAUGCCUGCUCUGUCCUCUGCAGCCCUGCUGCUGCUGCUGCUGCUUCCUGGGACCCUGACUGAGUAGGGAUCCUGCUGGGUGCACUGAAGAGACUCAUGAACUCCAAUGCAAACUUUAAGUUCACCUACACAGAAGAUCCAAACUAUGGUCCAUACCUGGAGAGUGUGAAUGGUGUGGCUGGAAGUGCUGAAGACCACACAUACUGGGAGCUCUUGGUGGAGACUCCAGAUGACAAAACCAUAAGACCUGAUGUUG